UACGAAGGGGGCUAGCGUUGCUCGGAAUCACUGGGCGUAAAGGGUGCGUAGGCGGGUCUUUAAGUCAGGGGUGAAAUCCUGGAGCUCAACUCCAGAACUGCCUUUGAUACUGAGGAUCUUGAGUUCGGGAGAGGUGAGUGGAACUGCGAGUGUAGAGGUGAAAUUCGUAGAUAUUAGGAAGAACACCAGUGGCGAAGGCGGCUCACUGGCCCGGUACUGACGCUGACGGCGCGAAAGCGUGGGGAGCAAACAGG
rnacentral:rRNA from 1 species